rnacentral:rRNA from 1 species
UACGUAGGGGGCUAGCGUUGUCCGGAAUUAUUGGGCGUAAAGCGCGUGUAGGCGGUCCGGUAAGUCCGCUGUGAAAGUCGGGGGCUCAACCCUCGGAUGCCGGUGGAUACUGUCGGGCUUGAGUACGGAAGAGGCGAGUGGAAUUCCUGGUGUAGCGGUGAAACGCGCAGAUAUCAGGAGGAACACCAAUUGCGAAGGCAGCUCGCUGGGACGUUACUGACGCUGAGACGCGAAAGCGUGGGGAGCAAACAGG